UGGAUGAGAGCCCUCUGGCUAGCCAAGAAGACUCGCCGAUGCAGCCACAUCGCAUCAUCCAUGGCUAAUGGAUAUGCCAACAGAAGGCACGCAUAGGCAAGUCAUUCUUGGCUACCAAAAGGGGCUCUCCAUCU
rfam:Setaria italica strain Yugu1 chromosome VIII, whole genome shotgun sequence.